rnacentral:rRNA from 1 species
AGGCGCGAAACCUUUACACUGCACGCCAGUGGAAUAAGGGAAUCCCAAGUGCGCAGGCAUAGAGCCUGCGCUUUUGUCCACCGUAGGAGGUGGACGAAUAAGGGCUGGGCAAGACCGGUGCCAGCCGCCGCGGUAAUACCGGCAGCCCGAGUGAUGGCCGAUCUUAUUGGGCCUAAAGCGUCCGUAGCUGGCCGCGCAAGUCUAUCGGAAAAUCCACCCGCCCAACGGGUGGGCGUCCGGUAGAAACUGCGUGGCUUGGGACCGGAAGGCGCGACGGGUACGUCCGGGGUAGGAGUGAAAUCCCGUAAUCCUGGACGGACCGCCGAUGGCGAAAGCACGUCGCGAGGACGGAUCCGACAGUGAGGGACGAAAGCCAGGGUCUCGAACCGGAUUAGAUACCCGGGUAGUCCUGGCCGUAAACAAUGUCUGUUAGGUGUGGCUCCCGCUACGAGCGGGUGCUGUGCCGUAGGGAAGCCGCUAAACAGACCGCCUGGGAAGUACGUCCGCAAGGAUGAAACUUAAAGGAAUUGGCGGGGGAGCACUACAACCGGAGGAGGCUGCGGUUUAAUUGGACUCAACGCCGGACAUCUCACCAGCAUCGACUGUAAUAAUGACGAUCAGGUUGAUGACCUUAUCCGAGUUUCAGAGAGGAGGUGCAUGGCCGCCGUCAGCUCGUACCGUGAGGCGUCCUGUUAAGUCAGGCAACGAGCGAGACCCGCAUCCUUACUUGCCAGCAGCACUGCGAAGUGGCUGGGGACAGUAGGGAGACCGCCGUGGCCAACACGGAGGAAGGAACGGGCAACGGUAGGUCAGUAUGCCCCGAAUGUGCUGGGCAACACGCGGGCUACAAUGGUCGAGACAAAGGGUCCCUACUCCGAAAGGAGACGGUAAUCUCAGAAACUCGAUCGUAGUUCGGAUUGUGGGCUGCAACUCGCCCACAUGAAGCUGGAUUCGGUAGUAAUCGCGUGUCACAAGCGCGCGG